rnacentral:rRNA from 1 species
GUGGGGAAUAUUGGACAAUGGGCGCAAGCCUGAUCCAGCCAUGCCGCGUGAGUGAUGAAGGCCCUAGGGUUGUAAAGCUCUUUCACCGGUGAAGAUAAUGACGGUAACCGGAGAAGAAGCCCCGGCUAACUUCGUGCCAGCAGCCGCGGUAAUACGAAGGGGGCUAGCGUUGUUCGGAAUUACUGGGCGUAAAGCGCACGUAGGCGGAUAUUUAAGUCAGGGGUGAAAUCCCGGGGCUCAACCCCGGAACUGCCUCUGAUACUGGGUAUCUAGAGUCCGAGAGAGGUGAGUGGAAUUCCGAGUGUAGAGGUGAAAUUCGUAGAUAUUCGGAGGAACACCAGUGGCGAAGGCGGCUCACUGGCUCGGUACUGACGCUGAGGUGCGAAAGCGUGGGGAGCAAACAGGAUUAGAAACCCCAGUAGUCC